AUUUAUAUAGUUUAAAAAAAACAUUAUAUUUUCAAUAUAAAAAUAAUAGCCAUAAAAUUUAUAAAUU
rnacentral:tRNA from 1 species